rnacentral:snRNA from 1 species
AGAUGUGAGGGUCAUCUAUCACACCAUUGUUUUCUAGGAUGGAUUUGGCUGAUCUGGCUGGUUAGGCAAGGGUCCCUUUUCUCCCUCACUGCUCCACAUGCAUCCCUGGGGGAGCUGUGGGCUGCACAAAGAGCAUGAGCAUCCCUGAUAGAGAAGGACCAUUUCUCAGCCAACGACAUAUGAGUAGCAGUGUUCUUCAGACAUAACCUUAAAGAUAGCUCAGUUAUACCAGGUUGUUUCAAUAUUUCAUUUGUCCCAAGGAAAGGAUGCAAUAUUGAACAAAAUUGAAGGGUUCUAUAAAUAUACUCACCACCUU